AAUUUGUAUUGGUAUGUGUUGUAUAAAAGCAAUCAAAUCAAAUCCAUGAAUACACAGGAAAAGCUCAACUGGAUCAGUGUGUGUAUAAAAACACAGAAGGAUUCACUCUCGAUUUGAAGUUUCGGAGAGUCCACUGUAAUGACCGAGUGUUUUGGUACACAGACUGACAUAUAUAUCGCUCUACAGAGUAGUUAUGACGGUCUAGGGCUCUUAUUUCGUUCCCCACAGCUUGUCUGUGGCAGAGAGCCAGAAAUGUGUGUAUUUGCAAGAUGUUACAGUAGAUUUACUCAUUUGUUCCUUGCAUCACCUGUUUACCUGAAGCUCUGCUCUGCAGUUACAUCACGGAACUUUGAUUGUGGAACUUUUUCUUUUCUUCAGCCAAUAAAAGACCAGUUCUAUUUGUUGACCCAAAAGAACCGCCACAAUUGGUUGUGUCCGAGCGUCCCACCUCUGUGUCCCGCGGGAGAGACACUAAACUGAAGACUCGUCUAAGUUGGGUGAUGGUCAGACAGACUCUGGCAGAGAUAUUGUGAGGAUGGAAGCAGGACGCCUCUGUAUUGAGCAAGCAGUGGCUCGUUUCAUCAUCAUGGCAAACACCUCGGCUCUGAGCCUGAACUCCAGCAUCUCUGGGUGGCGUCGUCCGCUGUGGUACCAGUAUGAAGUGUGUGCGGAAGCUCCUCAUUGGUUCAUCUUCUACUUUGGAGUCAAAGUAUUGAACCUGGUUGCAGGCGUUCCCCUGAACACACUGGUGUUGUGGCAGAUUCUGAGGAAGAAGAGCGAAGGCUCAACAUCUGAUGUCUUCAUUUUCAACCUCUCUAUCCUGGAUGCCUAUUUCGGCCUCAUGACGCCGGUGGAUAUGGUCAACCGGCUGUACUUCAACAAUCCAUCCGUCUGGUACUCUCAGCGUUUCGCCUACGGGCUGAAAGACGUGACUCCGUUGUUUCUCACCUGUAUUUGUCUGGACAGGUACAUCGCUGUGGUCCAUCCCAUCCUCUUCACCGGGACCCGUGACACUCGCAUCCGGAUUGGCGUCUCGUUGCUGGUGUGGGGACUCAUCCUAGCCUACUCUUUGACCAAAUGCAUCUUAGGCAUCCUGAGCGUGAACGAGGUCUUCAGCGGCGUCAUCCUCUCGGCCUUCUUCAUCAUGGUGUUCUGCAACCUCUCCAUCAUCUGGGUCCUCAGGAAGAGCGUCGCAGGGAAAGAAGUCAUGAACCCGGUGAAGAAGAAGGCCUUCAAAAUGGUGCUUAUCAUCCUCGGCAUCAUCGUGGUGAACUAUCUGCCUCCUGUGGCUCUGCUGCCGUUUGCUUCCACCUUCUCUUUCGUGACGCUGCACUGUAGGGUUCUUCUCGGCGUGUUCUCCAUCAUGGACCUGAGCUGCACCAUCGAGCCUUUGCUCUACAUCUCUAAGAUGGAUCGAUCUGCAUUCUGUCAAUGCCUGCAGAGUCCCUCUAAGAAACCCAUCACCGUGAGCGUCUGAAAUGAAUGUCUGAUGUUAUGAGUGUGAUUCUUGACUCAGUGUAUCUGUCUAAUCCAGUGGUUCUCAACUGGUGCGUCUCAGGUCUGCUGUGAUUGGUCACUGAAAAAGGGAAAAAUACUAUUAACUGCAAAAGAGUAAAUAUAUAAUCAUUAUGACAGAUAGACUCAUCAACCAAAUAAAGAAAAGAGAAAACACCUUCCAUUCUUUUGCUACUGAUGUCCACUGAUACUCUGUCCAUCAAACUCUACAGUAUUUUGACACAAAUUCAUCCAACCACAGUAAGAUUGAUCUUUACUAGGGUAAAAGUCAAAUUAUACUUAUGGAUCAACAUGGGCAGGGUAUGUGACACUUACCGAG
rnacentral:lncRNA from 1 species